UACGAAGGGGGCUAGCGUUGCUCGGAAUCACUGGGCGUAAAGCGCACGUAGGCGGAUUGUUAAGUCAGGGGUGAAAUCCUGGAGCUCAACUCCAGAACUGCCUUUGAUACUGGCGAUCUUGAGUCCGGGAGAGGUGAGUGGAACUGCGAGUGUAGAGGUGAAAUUCGUAGAUAUUCGCAAGAACACCAGUGGCGAAGGCGGCUCAUUGGCCCGGUACUGACGCUGAGGUGCGAAAGCGUGGGGAGCAAACAGG
rnacentral:rRNA from 1 species